GCCUCGUUGGCGCAGUAGGCAGCGCGUCACGACCUUCAUAAUCUGAAGGUCGUGAGUUCGAGCCUCACACGGGGCA